rnacentral:rRNA from 1 species
UACAGAGGGGGCAAGCGUUGUUCGGAAUUACUGGGCGUAAAAGGCGCGUAGGCGGCCUGUUAAGUCGAACGUGAAAUCCCCGGGCUCAACCCGGGAACUGCGUCCGAUACUGGCAGGCUUGAAUCCGGGAGAGGGAUGUGGAAUUCCAGGUGUAGCGGUGAAAUGCGGAGAUAUCUGGAGGAACACCGGUGGCGAAGGCGGCAUCCUGGACCGGUAUUGACGCUGAGGCGCGAAAGCCAGGGGAGCAAACGGG